rnacentral:lncRNA from 1 species
GAGGGUGUUUUGCUGGAGACCUCUCCCUCCUGGAGGCCUUCUGAAGGCCCUCCAGUGGCACUGCACACAUGGGUAUGCAAUAGAUUUGAACCUGGAGCUCGAAGUGCUCCCCUCCAGCAGCAGCAGCAGCAGGGCUGCAGACAAUUUUGUGGAGCUGAGCAGGGCGGCAAUGAAUACUGCAAUGUUCUGCAGUGACCCCUCGGAGCCAUCUGGAGGUGGCGUGGGCCCACAGGAGGCAGAGGAGGCUCUGCAACGCAAAGACUCACCCACGAUUCAUUGAAGACUGUGCUGUAUGAAAAUACAGGAAGAUUGGAGUGGGAGUACUGGAAGAUGAUGGAAGAGAACACUGCUGAAUGAAGGUGCUCAAACAAAUACUACAAGAACUACCCAUCCAACAGCAAUGGAGAGAGGAACGUGGAGGAGAAAACAGUAGUUCUUCCUUCUGGAUGGCCAUGUGGCCUUCUGGAUGUGUUGGAAAGCUGAGUGCUCUGACAUGCUGGCUUUUUACUUUGACCAUAUUCACGUCCAGGUGUGUGAUGAUUUUCAUGCUUAUGUAUGGGAAGCAGAGACAGAGUUGGUCCUGAUGGAAGAAGAGACUCUUGUAGCUGACAGCUGGCAGUGCUGUCCCCAGUACAGCAAUUUAGGGAUCAGCAGCUGGCUGAUGAGAUUGAAGGUCAAAGCCCGAACAGUCUGGUCUGAAAGAAGAAAACAACAGAGCUGCAAAGUUAGUGAUACAGUGCCUGUCCCAUGUGCACACAUUCAAUGUUAUGGAUUUUGUUACAAAAAUUAGAAUGCAGAAACAUGAAAAUGCAAUGUGAGACAUUUAAGAGGUGAAUGAGGAGAUGCUUAUUCCUUCUUUCCUCCCACAUCGUCUCAGCCCAAAUACGCAGGUUUUUGUCAAGUUGUCUGAUAACUUUUCAGGCACAGCCUUACUACUUUCCACAAAAUGUGAAUGGAAGUUGGUGGAUAUAUUGCAUGGGGAGACAAGUUGGAAGUGGAACUGGCUGGAUUAGCCUUGGACAAAAGCAUGUCUGUUAAAGGAUAACUUUCUGAAUGCAACAAUGCCAGCAGAGUGGCACUUGUGUUCACCAGCACUGGACAUGUGGAAAUCAGAGUGUCUGUGUGUAACAGACAGGUGUUAAAGCACAGUUGAUGCUAAACUUGGGCUCACAGUUUUGUAUGUACUGAGUGCAGUGUGGGGCACUGAUUAUUGCACAGUGAGAAUUGGAUCUGAAGAAGUAAUAAUUUUCUCCAUGGUUUUUGUCUGAAACAAAUGAAAGUUAUCAUAGAAAUAUAUCACUGGAGACAUUCCUGGAAAGAACAUUCUGUGCAAUUAUUUGUGCCUGCUAGAGGCAUAACAAAAUGUAAAGGCUGAAAACUCAAGCUGGGAAAAUGCACUUCAGGAUCAUGACGUGGGUUUUCAGUAGUGCAAUGCUCUCCGUGGGCAUGGGCUAUUGAGAGAAGCAGUCAACUUCAGCACUGCAGAUGAAAGGAUUCAGGACUGGAAGCUUCUAUAAAAAAAAAAAAAAAAUUGUCUGAGUCCAUGAGCAGUUACUGAACUUGCUGACAAGUAUAUAUGCACAGCAAGGCAUACUAAGUAAUGGCCCCUAUUUGUUCCCAUGGAAACUGGAACAGAUUAAAAGAGCACAAUAACACAAUCUGAAAGAGCAAGUUCUCAGCUCUAAAUCACUGUUUUUCAACAUAGUUAUCACUGUUAACUCUGCAUUUUCACCAGUAAUGAACAAGGUUCUGCAUGCUGUGCUCAUAAAUAUCUGCAUGGCCAUCCACAGCAUCUUAUUUUUCACAUUGCUGUCACCACCCAUGAAAUACAGCACCCGCUGUCUCCUUGUGCCAACAGCCACACUUAGGGCUCCAUAAACACUCAGUGAAUGUCAAUAAAUGUCAAUGGGUGCAUAUUUUUCCUCACAGGGGAAUUUGGUUCCACCCUUUGCUCCAUCCCCACUUCCACGAGGCACUGUUCUGUCAGACCGCCCCUCUGCUGCCCUCUGUUACACAGCACCAAAUGAAUACUGGCAGGAACAUCCAACCCCUGCUGCCAUACCACCUCCAUCCACCUCUGAUGGCAAUGGCCAACAUUGUAAAAUAGGAGGCACUAUUUUUGAAGCAGCCCUCAUAAUGUUCUUCAUUGCAGGUAUUACUGAGCAAAAUUGUGUCUGCUUGUGUUUCAGGUCAGGUUAGAUGACAGUGGCCUUCUCUAGCCUUGGUUGUGACAGAGACAGUGAGGGUUUGCAAGAGACAAAACCACAAAAAUCAGCUGUUUGAGCAGUGACCAUUCCCUUGUUAGGGGCAGGAUUGCACCACAGUGGUUGGACAUGCGUAGAGCUUACGGUAGGUUGUGCAGCACUGUGAGCUGAAAGGCCAGUUAGCACACUCAAUAUUGGUUGCUGUAAAAGAGCACUAAUGAGUGUGCUAAUUAUGUAGCAGCUUGCAGUGACACACACAUAGAAAAUUGUGACGAUUGGAUGUUGAAAUAUUCCUUCACAUGUUUUUAUUUUGGUAAAAGUUCAAUUAGUUUGAUGCAAUUUACCUUGUGCUGUCCUGUUCACUGAAGAUUGACUAUAGCGACUACCCAUGGAGACUCAGAGGGCCGUGAUGACCCAGGUGACUCAGACUUCUUGCUGUGUUAGAAGCAAAUUCUGCACAACCGAACUCUCCUUUCUGAGGCCAGCAUGGUUGGGUAGCCAACCACAGACAAAGGCCAUUAAUGCACAGAGAGACAUACAAGAUUAUAAAACUCACAGUCUUCAGCUAGGAGCCUUAGGAAGAACAGAAGUUUCCCUUAUCUUAUGUGUUAAUUUGUAUCUGCAUGUAUUGGAGCCAAUAGAAACGAUGUAUUAGUCAUUCUCAAAACAAAAUUGUAUAAGUAAGCCAUUUCCCCCCCCCCCAAGUAUUUCAUUAUCUGGAACACUGCAGUCAUUUUUAUCUGUUUUUAGAAUUCAUUUGUCAGUGUCUUUCAAGAACUCUUGCCUUGAUGCACUUUGUCCAGAGUGGGCUACCCAGUACUGCACUUAGAUAGGAAAGGAGAAGUGAGAAGAAGAAAGGGAGUUUGGAAAUGCAAAGAGCUCACAAAGUCACCCAUUAAUCCGUUUACACGUAGAAGUGAACUUCACAAUGUGAUCUAAAUGGCUGCUGGGGAUUUCAGGCACUCCCAUUAAGAGAAGAUUAUGAUUCCGCUGUCUUACUGUGUAAGAGGUAAUGUAGGAAAGGCUGAGCAGCAGCUGGAUGUUCAAACUGAGGGUUUUCUUUAACCAUUUCAGCACGUUUCCUUGAAGCCUUUAGUCUCAUCCAUUUGGAUGGGCAGCAGAGGAAAUUUUGUUUAUGGUUAGGCUCGUUCCAGCCAUGAAAUUAACAGAAUAAGUACAGAUAAAAGUAGAAAGAUUAGGGAGAUUUUAAUUUGGUACAGGCAUUCUUAAAUGUUUAUUUGCUUUUUGGUCUUGGAACUUGCCCCAUCACUUAAUGAAUAAGAAUGCUCCAUAGCAGCUGCAAAGAACAGCGGUGAGAUGAAGGCAGUAUGAAUUGAGUGGCCUGGGACAAAUAGUAAAGUUAGGAGCAUUAACAAAAUCAUUUUUGACAACUGAUGUAAACUGAAAGCUGCAGAUCAUACAAGAAGGAAGGGUGAGAGGUACCAGGAGGCAGUCACUGCUUUGUGUUUUAUUUCCAUAACAAAACUGACUUAAAUGAUGCCAUGCAGUUGGUGACAACAUAGCCUUCCUAAAGAUCUGUAAAGCAGAGCUCCCUCAUCCUUGGCAUCUCAUCAUCUUGGUGAAGAUGAGUGAGUAAAACAUAUUCUCCACACCUGUGAAUGAUUUCCACAGCUGACUCUGAAGCAGUGGUAUGCUCUAAUUUCCAGAAGUUGGGAGAGCUGCAGCCUAAGGCCACUUCUCCGCAUCCCUGCAUGACCUCGUGCUGCAGCACUGCCAUCCUCAGGGGGCACCCGGGGUCCCUCACACUGAGCUGUUGUGCUGCACCUCCUUAUGUCACCCUGUGACCAUUUCAGCAGAUGUGAAGUUAGGAGAGCACCUGAGGGUUUUAUUUAUCCUGGACAAUGGCUGAGUUAAGCAGACGUUGGUAUCUGUGCCUUGAAAUGAGUGGGAUUAAUGAAUGUCUACAGUUUCCACUGUUAAGAUUGAAGAAGAAAUUCUUAAGGCCUUCGCUGCCCACAGAAUGUACAGACAUUCCUUUUUUUGGCUCUUUUUCUCCCGUGUUUCCCAAAAUUCCCAUAGAACCCAAGGAGAGCAUUGGUACAGCAUUGUUUUUAUAGCACUCUGGGUUCGCAGCAUUCUAAAACACAUCAGUGACUCAUCUGAAGUUUUUGAUUACAACUUCUUGCCUCAGUGCUUACAUUCACUUCUUAAAUAUUGACGGUGUCCUGAAAAAGUCGUGUUACCAAGGAGAAAGUAGCAAUGGUUUAUCAGAACACACAGUGCUUGAUAACCCCUGCAGAAGGGUAGAACUUUGAUUCACAGCUACUUUAUUUCUGCUUUAUGCCAACUUAAUUAUAUCCUAAACGGGGGACAAAAGGACCUUUUCCCACCUUUGCUAUUGUGUCACUCUUUCACUCUGCUGACACACCAAGGCUUCCCAGAUCUCCAUUCUGCUCCGUUCCAGGGGAUGUGUUACCUCAAAUCACUUACAGCAUGUUUAGCCAGUAGGAGUUUGUGAAUUGUUUUAUCAUUCUUGCUGGAAAAUUUGUUGAAUUGUUGAUAUCACUCCUAAUAGUUUCCAGCUUUGUGUCAUUUAUGUUCAUGUGAGUUGCUUUUUUUUUUUUUUCUUUUUCUUUUUUUUUUUUAAUUUAUUGAACACAUUCAUCAGGCAUUAUUUAUGGAGUUUGAUGUUAUUACAGCCAUGAUUGUGAGAUGUGAUAUUUUCCUGGUGUUUCAUUUUAUUAUCCUUUGCAUACACUGUAAAGACUCAGCUCUGCCCAUCAAACAACUUUUGCUUUGGUUUUCAGUCAGGUUAACAGUCUCUUGUUUUUAACACCAUCUUUUCCAAGAAACCAGCAAAGGUUACCUGACUGUUUUUCACAUCCUCUCAGGUAUUUCAGUGAGCUCUCCUUGUGCUGCUGAUUGCUUUCCUUUGCAAAUCAGAGCCUUUUUCAGCUUGACUGUAUAAAGGACUCUCCAAGUGCACCUUUGGGUGCUUAUGGAAACAUUGUCAGCUAGGAGCAGAUGACUGGAAAUUAGCUCAAGGCUCCAUAUUUUGAGAUCAGCAGUCACAGAAUAAUGACGGUAUUUUCCUUCAUGUGUUUAAGAGUCAUGGAUUACUCCCCCUGCUUUACAGCUGGACCGAGCAGCGUGGCUCCAGUAGACUGUGGAGGAGCUGCAUUACAAGUCUUAACUCUGUUGAGUGCUUGGAAACUAAUCAGGGAGUAUGCUGUUACCUCGCAGGUCCUCAGAAUUUUGACUGUGAUUUGCAAUUCCUGUGACGAUUUGCAGACUUGCCCAGCACCAUCUGAGCAUUAUCUAAAGCAGUCACACCCUGAGAUUCUUUGAGAUCUUCCUUGGGAAAACCAGAGCCCAGUUCUGUGCCUGACCACUCUUUCAGAGAAGAAAAUUUUCCCAAUAUCUAACCUGAACCUCUCCUGGUGCAUCUAGAUGCCUUUCCCUCUCAUCCCAUCACCACAUACACAGGAGAAGAGAAUGACCCCCACCUCACCACAGUAAGGUCUCCCCUGAGCCUUCUCUUCUCCAGACUGAACAAUCCCAGUUCCCUCAGCUGCUCCAGACACCUCCCCAUGUUGGCCAAAGCCCCACCCAGUUCACUGAUAGGGUACCCACACUGCUCUGGCCAUCCUAUGCCAGUGUCUCAUUGUUCUCAAGGUGAAGAAUUUCUUCCAAAGUCUUGAAUUUCUUUUACAUCUGCCUGUGUACAAGCAGGUGACAUCAUCUGGUGGAUGGAUCCAUUAGUGAUUCAGGCAGCUGGAAGCCAAAUUUGAACUUUUCUGCUGUUUUCCAUCCAAAAACCACAGUAUGCUUGAAAAAAGAAAAAAAAAUGUUGUAAAUAAAGACUCUUAAUUGCUACUAGAGCAAAAGGAGUAAUGGAUAUUUUCUACAGAUGGAAAUAAUACAUAAAGCAACACAUGCAGCAUUUGUUAGUAUUACAAAAGUGAGGACAUACAAAAGAAGCACAGAAUGGUUGACAUUGGAUGGAGCCCAUGGAGAUUGCUUAGUCCAGACCCCCUGCAUGAAGGCAGGAGCAGCUACAGCAGGCUGUCCAGCUGUGCCUGGGUGACUGCUGGCUGUGUCCAAGGAUGAAGACUCCACAGCCUCUAAGGAAUCUGUCACAGCACUUGACUGUACCUAUGAGGAAAAAAAAAUAACUUAGGCCUAAAUGGUAUAUCCUGUAUUUUGGUUUGUGACCCAAAACUACAUUAGAUUUAAGCACGUGUCUUCUAUUCAUGUUCAGUUAUUGAAGACAAGAUGACAACAAAUAGCAGCACAUUGCCCUGACUCCUCGCCCUAUGGCACAAGCACCACUGUCACCGCUACUAACAUCAGAGAUGAGUUCAUAGCAGACAUUUCAUAAGACAUCUGAUGCAGAAUGCAAGCUGCUAAACACUGAUGUUCUCAGGUCUCUGAAACUGAGGUACAAAGGCUGUAUGUGUGUUUGAAAAGCAAACAAACAACAGAGACAGAAAGAUGUAUAGGCUAACAAACUCAACACAUUGCUGCAACUGUUUCAAGAGCUUUAUUUAUUACAAGCACUUUGGAAGGAAGGACAAAAGCAUAUGCCAGAAAAUGAUUAAAGAGUGAACUGGGGAAGUUUAGACUCCUUCGGAAUAAAUCUAAGUAAUGGACAGCAUUUAUUAUGUCUGUUUAAAAGCAAAGUAAUAAGGACAAAGGGUAAAUCUACACUAGCAAUUAGCUAUGAAUUCUUUUUUUGUGUCUAUGCCACCCAGCUACAGUCAUGUCAGCUUUCUAUAUUCACUUGCCAGAAAAAGAGCUGUGCAAAACCAUGACUUUUGUUCAGGCAGGAGGUAGAUAUAUGCUUCAGCUGCUGUCCACAGCUGCACACAAUCAAUAUGCACCAGGCCUGCAAAUACAGAGAGAUCUUCCCCCAAAAAAUCUUACUCCAGGCUGAAUUCCAAUUCCUUACUAAGAUAUCUUUUUUUUUUUUUUUUUUUUUUUUUUUUUUUUUUUUUUUUUUUUUUUUUUCCCCCACUGGCAUCAGUUUUCCCAAAUGCUGACCCCAAAUUCCCCUUCUGUCUACCUGGAAACCUGGCUGGUAGACCCACACUGGGCAUUUAACCCCAUAUUUCCUUGCAGUCUGCGAGUCUGUACUUGGCUCAACUGUUCCAGCUGAGCUCCUUCUAUUGCAGUGUACCUGGGUACUUACUUCCAUUGUGCUGCCUGGAGAACAUGGGGCUCCCUGAUCAGUGCUUGAAGGAACGCCACACAGCCCCUGAGCCUGGCCAUAGAAUCAUAGAAUCACAGAAUCACCAAGGUUGGAAAAGACAAGAUCAUCCAGUCCAACCAUCCACCCACCACCAGCAGCUCUCACUAAACCACGUCCCUCAACACAGUGUGUACAGCAGCUCCAGUAGCUGCCACAGCACACCAUCCAAAUGACCUCUUAGAUAUGGGUGUGUUCUGCUGGAGUGCAGAGUGGAGACACAUCACUGUCCUGAAGGGAAGGGCACAAACUGGAGGUGCAGUGGUGCUCAGGAUGUGUCCUUGCUGUGCAGAGUCUGACAAGUAUUUAUCAGUGCUCCACCACCUCAGUCCAUUUUGAUUUCCUUCCUUACAUCAAUUCUUUGCAUCAAAAGGAGGAACUAUACAUUCACACACCAUUUUACACUGCAAAAAACAUAACUUGUCUUGUGUUGUUGUAGUUCAUGGCAAUAUUCCAGGCUUCCAGGUAAAUGUUUCAUCAUUGGAUCUCAAAGAUAGUUAAUAGUCAACAGUGAAUAAGUUCUGCCAUUGCAAUAUUCUGCUCAGAUGUUGGCAAAGCUACGCACAUCUGAUUGUUUUCAUGCAAAUGCUCUCCUUUACCACAGAAGUUUGUUGCUGUAAAGAGAAGAAAUAAUUGAUGCUGGGAUGCAAAAUCCCCUCAAGUGAAGGCAUUGCACACUGGGAAAAUUACAUGGUAAGGAACAAAGUUUCCUAUUAUCUGUUACCUUCUCGACAGGACAUUUUAUAACAUUUAUGUGCUUGCGUGUGGCAUCAGCUGUUUUGGCAGCUGAAGAAGUAGUUACUCAUGCCUUUGUAGCACUACAAAAUGUAUUUCAUGCUGAUUAAGCUCACAAACAGGAGGCUUCAGCCUGCAGCAUUUGAACAUCUGGAUGUAGUUACUGAGUUAUGUCACCUUUCAUCAGCUCAGGAGUGCAGUGCAGAGCAGCCUGAUGGGCUCUGUUAGUGAGGGGUGGGCGCAACAUUUUUGUCUGCGUUUCUUCAGAGUUCACAAGUCAAAUGCCUGCGUGACUCUUGGUGAGGACACAGAUCUGACAAUUACUGUAUGCUCAGAGUUAUUCAGAACACAGUUUUCCAUCUGAGUCUCAAGAGGCUUGCCCACAGUCGUGUCACGCAUUAUCCUCUCAGCAUGAUUUAUUGCGUGUGAUUAAGCAGAAGAGACUAUUUCCCAGUUUGAACUACCAAAUGUGUUUUCCCCAUUCAAACUUUCAUUCGGUUUUCAGACUGUGACUCGUUAUCUCUCUUCCUUUCCCUGUUUUUCUCCAAUUUGCACUAUUACCUACUGAAUAUGCAGCCUGUUUAUGGUCAGCAGCUUUAGAAUUUUUAGAUGGCUCCCUUUCUCCAACUACUUGGAUGAAUCACUGUUCUUUGCAGUUUCUUUGUUGCCAAUGUUCUGAAAUGCCAAACUGUAAUGGUUUACUCAUCCUGUUGAAUUUAGUAGUUGUUUUGCAGGGACUGCAACCCAGAUAAAUUAUGGUAUUUGCCUCUUUAUUCCACUUUGUUCAUUCCUGAACUUGGGCUGGAUGUUUUUUGCUGUUCCUUUUAGAAGCCUAAGUGGGAAUCCAGUACAAAAUUAGAAACUGGAUUUCAUUUAUGUCACUUCCCUUGCCACAUAGUAUUUUUCAUCUAAGAACAGAAGCCACAAAACCCCUCUGAUCAAAGGAUGGGAACACUUCUAUUUUCUUCCCUAACUGCACAUACCUCCCCAUUACCCCAUGGGACCGUGCUUUGAAUCUUGAUAGGGCAGCAUCAAGAUGUGACCUUGCUUUUUUAGAGAUAAUUUUAACACCAGCACUGGGUCAGGCAUGUGAGAACCAAACCCCUCAAGGAUUCCAUCUUCUUUACAGAGCAUCUCUGUAAAACAGCAAGAACUUGAUGGUGAACGGGGAAUGAGAGGAAAGGCUGUUUGAUUUGCGCUGCAUUGUUCCACAUGUAAUUCCUAUUGUCAGUUUGUCACAUGUGGCUUCUGUAAGACAUCACGGCUGUGUCACAGACUCUGAGAUUAACAGAAUUGUUGCCAUGGGCAUGAGUGUUGUACAAUGGACAGUUUCAGAAAAGCCACCAAGCGAACAGCAUUUAGCAGAAUGUGUUACAUCCUCAGUAAAGAAACCUGUCCUUAAAGCUGGAUUCAACUGAUUUCUUAAUGAAAAUAGAUUCCUAUCCCCUAUCACUCUGCUAACACUUUUCUGUACUUUAUGUAGGGCAACAGAAACCUUGUUCUGGAGAAGAAAGAGCACCCAAGUGUCUUUAUUAAAAGCUCUGUGGGGACAGGCUCAGAAGAAAGUCCUCCUGGCAAUCCCAUUUUCAGAAUGAACCAGAAUGAGUUCCACAGACAGAAUGUGCAGUUGUCUUGAACUGGAGUUACAUCUGAUCUAAAGAUUGUAUUGACCCAGUGAUUGUGCUGAACAGUGCUGAAACUGUGGCACGGGGCUUCUGCUUUCCAAAGUACUGACAUAGAGAAGUAAAUGAGUUCAGAGCCGCUGUGCAGCCACAUGGCUGGGUCAGAAUGAGAUCUGUGUGCAGGGCCAGAAGCACCCCUUAUUGUCCUUUGGGUAUGUGCAUUGUGACAGAGACUGCUGUGCUACUGCACUAUGCCUGUGAGGCUGGCAGCUGGCUGGGAGGGAGGGCCCUCUGUGCCCCCCUGUGUCCCUCUCUGUGCCACAUCUGGGUUUCAUGAAGCUGAAAUCCAACUUUAACAUAACCAUUUUUCUUGGAAAAUCAGAUCCUUUUGGGCAGUGAAUAUCCACAGGCCACAGUGUGCAGCAGCACUGUGAAUGUAAGGGGUACGUGUGCUUGCUUUCUUUCUGUUCAUAUUGACUGUUAAGAACUAGACUGGAGAUUCAGAAAGGGCAUAAAGGCCAUGGGUUGAAAAGCCCUGCUCCAGAGGACCCUGUCUGGAAACAAGUAUUCCUUCAGACACAGUAACGAGGCAUUCCCUGUAGUAGCUACAUGUGUUUCUCACUGUUGGGCUGCAUUUUCUCUCAUGUUUAUUUCAACAAAAAUGCCUUUUCUUCUUCUUUGCUCCCCAGUCCUGCCCUGCGGCCUUGCUGUGACCGCACGCUGCCUUGACAGUGAUCACUGGCUGGAACGAUGUGCUUCGCCAAGGUUGUCUUUAUUUAGACAAGGCUGCUGCUUUCUGAACUGCUUGCGGGAACAGAGGGGUCAUGCAGUAACCACUCUGCACCUCCUGUGUCAGAGGACUGUGGCGCACUCAGGGGAACACGCCUUUGGUAUUUUUCUAUGUUCUAACAGGGAAAACGGGGUAUUUGGAAUAAAGCAGCAAUGAAACAGACAGUAAGGUGGGCUUUUCUUUGAGUAUAACCCCAGAUUCUGGUCAGUCCAGCCUGAUCCCAGACAGAUAGCCAUGGCAGCAGCCUGAGCUCAGGCAUGGCUUCAUCUUCCUGCCUUUCCUGUAUUAAAGAACAUGGCAGCUUGCACUACAAAUAAUGUAUCUGUGCUGUUUACUACCACUGCCAGCAUUCCAGGAGAGCCAGAAGGGUCUGACACAGAUCGGCCUCUGGUUGUUGCCACAGCACCUGCGGAUGGUGUUUGUACUGAGGUCACAUUCAGAUGCAAGAAAGGUUACAAGCUGCCAAUAAUAAGAGUAACAAAAUACAGAUUUCCUCAGACCAGUGGCAAAGCCAGGAAUGGAGCUCAGGUUACUGCCUGCUAAACUUACAGCCUGUCCCAAAUUUAUACCAGAUGAGUGUAACAGGUUGGCAUGGAGUUAGUGCAAUUAAAUUCCAUACAUGUGGGUAACCCUUUGUUUAGUUACCAAGCCUAAACUCAAGAGCUGGGGUAGGAAACAAAGUGCAUAUGAUGCAAUGUGUAUUUUUUUAAAACUGGAAAACCAAAUUCAGGGUUGUGAGCCUGAAUCUCAGUUAGUAUAGGCUGUGAAUUCUGAUGAGUCUGUGCAGAACAACAGGAUCUGAGCGUGGGUGUUGGUUUCAUAUCCCAACACAGAAGAUUUGGGAUGAAUAUUUCAUAAGUUCACAAAGGUCCUGAGGAAUAUGCAUGAUAAAAAAAGUACUGGUUAGUUUGAAAGAGGUUAACAGCUUUCUAAAUAGAAUAAAGUAGAUAUCAUGGGGCUCUCAGCUAGAUAAAUGCAGGCAUAUUUCCUAAUUUCUCUGCUGCAAAACAGUCCUCUACUUCUCGCUGAGUCUUUUCCUUUUAUAAGGUGAGGACUGGAGGACUCAGACAAAACAGAUGAUGUUUGGUCAGAUGAGGGUUUAAAUCUGGCAGCUAAUGUUGCCCAUAGCACUGCCUGCGCUGAAGAGAGAGAAAUUGUGCAGUAGGCAGGUAAUUCAUAACCCUGGAGAGGUAUCUGAAUAACAGGACAGAAUUGCUCUGUUACAGCUCCAGCCCCUGCAGUGAAAUCCAUCUGCAUGCAUUGCACCCAACCUGUUGGUCACAUCCAUGAGUGCCCCUGGCACAUACAGCCUUCCUACCACAUUGGUGUAGUUCAUGUGAUACACACUCAUACUGAGCAAUCCAUGAAUGGGUCUGUACAGCCGUCUAAGAGGGACAGUGUUACAGUCAUGUGGUCAUAAUAAAUCAUAAAUCUGUGCCACCCCUUUAACAAAUGAUUUCCCCAUCUACAUGCUAAAGUUGAGGUACAAAUUUUUUUUUUUUUUUUUUUUUUGCCAAUAUCUUUGCUGAAAUCGAGUGUUUGGAUGGAUUAUGUGCAUGACUUUCCUUUUAAAUACCACUAAACUGAUGUUUGUGAUGUGCUUGAUUGACUGUUAAUGAAGGAUAAACUGGGGUUACAAACACAACUCUGUGUUGCCUCAACUCUUACUCUGCCCUGGAGUCAAUUCUUAUCUGUGUGGCUGCAUUUGGGUAUGGGAGAAAACUUCAAAUACUCAUAAUCAGAAAAAAAAAAAAAAAAAAAGUUCUCUAAUAUUCAAAGUCUUUAAUAUAGGCUUUGCUGGAACAUCAUUUGAAAAGUGUAAUUCCACAUUUCACAUAAACCAUCACAGUAACUCUUGGAAUCAGAAGCAGAGAGGCUGAUCCUCCCUUCAUCUGCACAGCCCUCACCUCUGCUGUCAUUAGCAGGUUCUCCAACCACUACCAAUGCAGGUGGUUUUUUGUUCACUAAACUUCCAGAAUGUAACUUCAUGGCCCACACAGGAGCAAUCCUUCUCUACCUGAACACUUAGACAGUGAAAAGAUAUCCACGUCUGCCUGUGCAUGGACACAGAUGUGCAAACAAAAUAACCAUCUUGAGUUUUAUUUCCUUACAAAAAUUUAAGAAGUCAGGCUCAAAGAAGAGGAGGAAGAGGAAAUACUGCUUGGGCUUCCCAGUCAGUCAUUUGUGAAAUAAACAAACACGGAAUCGAUUUGUUUUGUAUUUCAGCAUGAAAACAGACUGAAAUCUGCGUGGGAGUUGAAAUCAAAGCAUAAAUAGAUGUAAAAAAAAAAAAAAAAAAUCCAGUGGAGGAUCUAAGGGCAAAAAGCCACCUGGGAAGGGCCAGGAUGACCCCACCAGGCUGUCCCGUGCGGUGGGUACCCUCUGGCUGCUAUGCAUGGAGGUCCCCAAAGAUCUGAACCAAAGGCUCCGAGGGCAGCCCUUCCUCCAGCAGCACCGGGAGGAGCAGGCAGAGCUCCCAGAGCUGGCAGAACAGCACCUGGAGCAGAAGCUGAGCAUGAAGCUGGCCAGCUGGGAAAUGAGCUAAUGAGGUGCAGAUGGUAUGAUUCUUAGAGCACAAAGUGCAGGUCAUGGCUGCUGUUGCUCUCCUGGGAAGCUGGAAAGAAGGUGGUUCUGCUGCUCUGUUUCUCCUGCUGGUAUUUUGCCCAGCUAGCUGUGUGCUACAAAUGAGCUGGUGCUCUCUAACAGCACUAGGAAUGGCCUUUGUUUGCCAUUAAUGUUAAAAAGAGAUCAGCUAUUUACAGACGGCUUGGUAGUUGUUCUUUCCUGAAUGCUUCCUUGUGUCUUGAGUUCAUAGUGCUGCUGGAGCACACUAGGAAGGGUGCCUUUCUGCAACAUCCAUGUGCUGCAAGUGAGGUUCAGGCAGCUCAGCCCAAACCUGGCUCACACCAUCCAGCUGCCAGCCUUGGCAUUCAGCUUGUAGAAGGCUUUGACAAGGUGAAGAGCAGUUCAGUUGAGCUCAUGUUCAGCACACAGCACAGACUGAAGAAUCCUACGUGAUGACUGAAAAAGCUGUCUCUGGGACCAACCGAGGGAGAAGAAAUCUGAAAUAGCCAAAUGGAUAUCUUUUCUUACCUGGACUGAUUUGCAAUAAGAAGUGCAUGGAAACAGCUUGGAGUUGGAAUAUGAGAGAGGAAGAAGAGGAGAGCUGCUCCCAGCCCUGCUGCUGACUCACUGCCACUCUCUACCAUUAGAAAACCGAAAUAAAUCAUUGUAUCACCACUUCCUUCUGUCCAGAUCUGCAGUGAGGUUUACACUGGAAAAGGUUGUAAAGCAUUCUGCUGCUCACAAAUGGGGAAACUGCAGGGAGGGAAAAGCACAGAUGUCUGACCACGGUCUGACCAUUUGAUCAAAGAAAUGAAAUUUCCAAAGGCUGCCAUGUCUGUCUUCUGGGAUUGGGAUUCAUCCUUCUGUGUCCCCAUUGACUUCUCCAAAUCCUAGGAAAGGACUUGAAAUACUUUGCUUUAUCUGCGGGAAGGCAGAAGCUGCCUGAAAUCUGAAGAUUCUCUGAAUGC